UGGGGAAUUUUGGACAAUGGGGGAAACCCUGAUCCAGCCAUCCCGCGUGUGCGAUGAAGGCCUUCGGGUUGUAAAGCACUUUUGGCAGGAAAGAAACGUCAUGGGUUAAUACCCCGUGAAACUGACGGUACCUGCAGAAUAAGCACCGGCUAACUACGUGCCAGCAGCCGCGGUAAUACGUAGGGUGCAAGCGUUAAUCGGAAUUACUGGGCGUAAAGCGUGCGCAGUCGGUUCGGAAAGAAAGAUGUGAAAUCCCAGAGCUCAACUUUGGAACUGCAUUUUUAACUACCGGGCUAGAGUGUGUCAGAGGGAGGUGGAAUUCCGCGUGUAGCAGUGAAAUGCGUAGAUAUGCGGAGGAACACCGAUGGCGAAGGCAGCCUCCUGGGAUAACACUGACGCUCAUGCACGAAAGCGUGGGGAGCAAACAGG
rnacentral:rRNA from 1 species